UACGUAGGGCGCAAGCGUUGUCCGGAAUUAUUGGGCGUAAAGAGCUCGUAGGCGGUUUUUCGCGUCUGGUGUGAAAAUCCAGGGCUUAACCCUGGACCUGCAUCGGGUACGGGCAGACUAGAGUGCGGUAGGGGAGAUCGGAAUUCCUGGUGUAGCGGUGAAAUGCGCAGAUAUCAGGAGGAACACCGGUGGCGAAGGCGGAUAUCUGGGCCGUAACUGACGCUGAGGAGCGAAAGCAUGGGGAGCGAACAGG
rnacentral:rRNA from 1 species